UGUUUUCGGGGCAGUCGGGAACGAUGACAGCCGGCAGACCGCGCAGCACCUGUACCGACAGCGCACGAGCGCACAGCGCAGGUCUCUGACAGAAACAUCCAGAACACUGAGGUGAGGUGAGAGAGUCUGCCGGCUGUCUUCUUCUAUCAGCAUCACCACCAGACGCAUAUAUUCACACAUACUGUGUACGACUGCUCGAUAAUCGCGAGAAUGAGUUAAGCAAUGCAGUAACAGUAAGCGCUGGAGCGCUGCAGUAGCAGCACCCACUGCCUCAGUAUUCCAACGCACUUUAUCUACACUUUCUGCUCCACGGGAUGUGAGUUCAGAUAAGCAAUCAGGAUGUU